GAGUGCGUAGGGGAGACUGGAAUUCCUGGUGUAGCGGUGAAGUGCGCAGAUAUCGGGAGGAACACCGAUGGCGAAGGCAGGUCUCUGGGCAGUUACUGACGCUGAGGAGCGAAGCAUGGGUAGCGAACAGGAUGAGAUACCGUGGUAGUCCAUGCUGUAAACGGUGGGCGCUAGGUGUAGGGGGGCUUCCACGUCUUCUGUGCCGUAGCUAACGCAUUAAGCGCCCCGCCUGGGGAGUACGGCCGCAAGGCUAAAACUCAAAGGAAUUGACGGGGGCCCGCACAAGCGGCGGAGCAUGUGGAUUAUUUCGAUGCAACGCGAAGAACCUUACCUGGGCUUGACAUAUACAGGAUCGGGCUAGAGAUAGUCUUUCCCUUGUGGUCUGUAUACAGGUGGUGCAUGGUGUCGUCAGCUCGUGUCGUGAGAUGUUGGGUUAAGUCCCGCAACGAGCGCAACCCUUGUCUUAUGUUGCCAGCACGUUAUGGUGGGAACUCGUGAGAGACCGCCGGGGUUAACUCGGAGGAAGGUGGGGAUGACGUCAAAUCAUCAUGCCCCUUAUGUCCAGGGCUUCACACGUGCUACAAUGGUCGAUACAGUGGGCAGCGACAUCGUAAGGUGGAGCGAAUCCCUGAAAGUCGGCCUUAGUUCGGAUUGGGGUCUGCAACUCGACCCCAUGAAGUCGGAGUCGCUAGUAAUCGCAGAUCAGCAACGUUGCGGUGAAUACGUUCCCGGGCCUUGUACACACCGCCCGUCACGUCAUGAAAGUUGGUAACACCCGAAGCCAGUGGCCUAAACUUGUUAGGGAGCUGUCGAAGGGGAUCGCAGGG
rnacentral:rRNA from 1 species